CCCUUAGAUGUCCUGGGCCGCACGCGCGUUACACUGAAGGAAUCAGCGUGGCUUUCUCCCUGACCCGAAAGGGUUGGGAAACCCGUUGAAUCUCCUUCGUGAUAGGGAUUGGGGCUUGAAAUUGUUCCCCAUGAACGAGGAAUUCCCAGUAAGCGCGAGUCAUAAGCUCGCGUUGAUUACGUCCCUGCCCUUUGUACACACCGCCCGUCGCUACUACCGAUUGAACGGUUUAGUGAGGGCCUCGGAUUGGUCUCGGCCCGCUCUUUACCGGGCGGCGCCGUUGGUCGAGAAGACGCUCGAACUUGAUCGUUUAGAGGAAGUAAAAGUCGUAACA
rnacentral:rRNA from 1 species